CUCAAAUCUUAAUCAGAUAAAAAAUCUCCCUACCAAUGUGAAUAUCAAGAAAAUCAUUCUGAAAAAAUAAAAAGAAAAAUCAGUGAGAAAAAUCCAACAUCUAAGAAAGCUUCCUAAUUUUUUUCUAAAGAUGUUGUCAUUACGACAAUAAAAUUCUUUAAAAGCAUAAAAGAAAAGAAAAGAAGAUCACCUAAAAAUUAGAUCCUAACCUAAAAC
rnacentral:lncRNA from 1 species